AUAUGCCAGACUGGCAACCGUUAGAAAUUUAGAAUCCAACGUGAGACAGAUCCGCUGGCCUUUUUAUUCUUCGAUACCCAACAAUAUUUCUUUUUUAAAUCAACGGCUGAUAUCAUCUCCCACGAUUUAUCUACGCUUAAUUUAUACCCCAAAAUCCUGUCCCUUUUCUUUCUCAGUCUUCUCUUUGCUUCACUAAAAUAUACAAACCUUGUUCUUCUAUUUUAGCUGCUCUUCACAUUGAGAAGCUAGCUUUUUGGUGCGUUUGCUUAGCUUCAACCCACAUUGUCUUUGUUGCGAAGAUGGUUGCACACAAAUUCACCGUUGAUUUGAAUAAACCCCUUGUCUUCCAGGUUGGUCACCUUGGAGAAAGUUAUCAGGAGUGGGUUCAUCAGCCUAUUGUGAGCAAGGAAGGUCCUAGGUUCUUUGAUAGUGAUUUUUGGGAGUUCUUGACUCGCACUGCCUGGUGGGCAAUUCCAACCAUAUGGCUGCCUGUUGUUUGCUGGUGCAUUUCAAUGUCCGUACGUAUGGGGCAUACACUUCCCCAAACCGCUUUAAUGGUUGCUUUUGGCAUUUUUCUGUGGACAUUUGUGGAAUAUGUUUUACACCGAUUCCUUUUCCACAUUGAAACUAAGAGUUAUUGGGGAAACACCAUACACUAUCUUCUUCAUGGCUGCCACCACAAGCACCCUAUGGACGGCCUGAGGCUUGUUUUUCCACCUGCUGCAGCUGCUAUAUUAUGCAUACCGUUCUGGAAUCUGAUUAAGUUUUGUGCCACUCCGUCCACUACUCCUGCUUUGUUUGGAGGAGGUUUACUUGGGUAUGUGAUGUAUGAUGUCACCCAUUACUACCUACACCAUGGUCAGCCCACCAACCAAGUUCCUAAAAGCCUUAAGAAAUAUCACCUGAACCAUCACUUUAGGAUCCAAAAUAAGGGCUUUGGGAUCACUUCAGCGUUUUGGGACAGAGUUUUUGGAACCCUUCCUCAAACAAAGGCAGCUGACAGGGCUAGAUGAUUUAGUAGGCUAGUAUGAUAGCAAACAUUGAUUGGUUGCAACCUGUGAGGACCAAGCCCAGGUCUGGGUCUAUUUCCAGGUGAAGUGCGUAACUGUGAACUAGACUUCAUGUAACUUUGGUGAACUUGGUUCGCAGAUAGUAACUAAAAUAGGUAGCGUUGGGUGAGAGUACGCGACGAAGUCAGAAAUUCAACAUAUUUUCCUGAGUAAUCGAAAUGGUUGAUUUCUAGAAAAAUAAGGCAAUGUGGACCAAAGUUAUCCUAGAAUUUAAGUCGUAUUUUAUUAUCUCCUAGAAAUGCUUUAUGUAACUACGAGUUCUUAAUGAUUACUCGUGCUAAAAUUUAGGUAUAUGGAUGAUAUGUUUUCUUAAAA